UUUUUUCCAAUCGGGCAACUACUCUAGGGAGAUUUUUCUUUAAAUAUGCUACUUUAGCAAUAGUCUGCUCGUAUCGGUCGAUGUCCUCUUUUCUAAACACAGUUGUCGAAGUUUGUUCAUCCGGGUUUUCUACUUCUUUAUCUUGGAGAGAAACAUAGUCAUCUUUCACGUUUCUUAAAAAUGCGGUCUGUUGCUCCAUCGCAUCAACAUAUGCCUUUUCAUAUUGUGCUGGUACAGACUUUCGGUAUCGAGCCACUAGGACAUGAGCAUCUUCUACUUCAUUGAAUAAUUGUUGGACUCGAGUACGAAGAGCCAGAUCAAAUGGCUCAAUUUGGUCGGAAUUUUUUGGAUCUUGCAAGGCUGAAUUUGCAUCAAAGCCAUUGAUUGUAACGUUUUCUUGUAUUAUUGAGAAAGUGGAUUCAAUCAGCUAUAUGUUAAGCAUUAGUAAUUGAAGAGGUCUCUCAUUUUACUUUAUAUAUAUAUAUAUUUUUUUUAAUCGAAGCUGCUAUGGAAUUUCGACUUUAUGGCUGAUUAGAAGCGUGUACUGUAUACUCACCUCGUUUAACAUUUCUUUGACUCGAAUUCGCAAUUGGUCUUCACGACCCAUUCCAGCUUCCCGUGAAGCUUGUUCUGGUAAAUGAAUAGCAAGUUUUUCUUGUAUGGCUUGACGAAACACCGAUUUUACGUAACUGUAAUCGUUGAUACUUAUAAAGUGUUAAAAUCAGAUUUUCUAAUUUCAAAUUAAAAGCAUAAAUAAAAGCUCUAAACUACAUGGGAUUAUGAAACACACCUUUCCAAUGCAAUUUUUGGUAAAACGCUAGCAUCUCCGUGAGACGACAUGAAUGCUAGAAAGAAAUGUUUUUCUUUAAGAAUAUAUGAUUAAUAGAUUAGAAUAUAUUAAGAGAAAGUUAAAUUUUUAGCUGAGAGAUAGAAAUCAUUAGUCUGAAAAGAAUUUGGAUGUGAUAGUACUGGCUGAAAACUUAAGCGAUAGCUUAAUUACGCUAUGUAAAUAGAUAGAAAAGAACCAUUGUAUAUAGAUCAGGUUAUCCCAGAAGCUCCAAAUUAUGAAGAUAUUCUUCAUAAGUACACCCGAUUUCCAAGGACUUAUAGCGAGUAGCAGUUAUUUGUAAAGAACGUAUUGAUCCAUAGUAGCCUGCUUUAUGUAUCAAGCUUUCUAGGGUUUCCUCUUGAUCCCAACGUUGUUCAGCCGCUACAGAAGGUAGAUAAGUCGAAGAAUAACGAAUUCCAUUUGCCGUAAAUUUAAUAGACACGCCAUGUAUGCCAACUUCCCAAUCUAAUGGAUCAUCUAUCGGUUCAAAGUCGACUAACAAGUCUAUCUGGCACUCUAAAAGAGCCAAUUCUCCCAAGGAGAUAGGACGAAAACGUUCAUCACAAAAUGCACUAUUUUUAAAAUGUUGUAUUAGCAUUCGGUUACUCUUCUUUUCAAUUUCAUCGGCAAUUUCAUACGAAGGUCUAUGAUUUAUCAUUGACGCCUACAACGAACUAUGAACCAUUUUUAGACACACUUACGCUUGUUUACUGAAAUAUGUUAAAUUUGUAACUAAAGGACGUGCCCGGAAAGUUCCAAUGCAACCUCGUAGUUGUUUAUCAUGGCCUUUUCCAGAUGCAAACUUUACGAACAGAGGGAUACUACGGGUCCAACUCUUUGCAUUCCACUUGUCUCGGACCUUUCGAUGCUCUAAAGUUGCAGCAACUACUUCAAAGCAAUAAUAACAAUACUCUUUCUUGUCCAUUUAUAUUAGUGGUAGUAGCAAUUGCCUACGGACGCUUUCGGUACAAUUUGUAAGCCAUGGUAUUUUAUUCAUACAUCAUUCCAACUUUCUUUGUUUAAGGAUGGCCAACAAAUCAUACGUUGUAAGUGAUUACGAUAACGUCCAAGUUCAUUAUACUGUUUCAUGUUUCAUGUUAAAAAAAGUUAGUUAGUAGGGCCCUGUUUAUGUCUUCUGUCAUAAAGUGAAAGAAAAUGGAGAACUUGUUUAACUGUACACUAAAGCAUUCUUUACAAAAUAAAUACUCUUCUAAGUUUUCA
rnacentral:lncRNA from 1 species